rnacentral:lncRNA from 1 species
CGGGCACCUGUUUCUUUCGACGACUUCCAGAUGCACGCAAAUUCUCCUUAUAUCGUGAUUGGUCACAGAACAUACAACUAUGUAGCUCACUAGUUUCCCCCCAAUACAACAUACAAUUAUUAACGCAACAAUCGAUCUUUUCCACGGGCAAACCCAAACCGCGCAGAUUUCUCUUCGUACUAUAGAAGUCUUCUGGACAGUUGUUAUCAUUCGGUAAA